rnacentral:rRNA from 1 species
UUCCGGUUGAUCCUGCCGGAGGCCAUUGCUAUCGGAGUCCGAUUUAGCCAUGCUAGUCGAGCGAGGUUAGCCCUCGCGGCGAACAGCUCAGUAACACGUGGCCAAGCUACCCUGCAGAGGGGGACAGCGUCGGGAAACUGACGGGAAUCCCCCAUACCGGUCUCACGCUGGAAUGCCGAGACCGACAAACGCUCCGGCGCUGCAGGAUGCGGCUGCGGCCGAUUAGGUAGUCGGUGGGGUAACGGCCCACCGAGCCGAUAAUUGGUACGGGGUGUGAGAGCACGAGCCCGGAGACGGAAUCUGAGACAAGAUUCCGGGCCCUACGGGGCGCAGCAGGCGCGAAACCUUUACACUGCACGAACGUGCGAUAAGGGGACUCCGAGUGCGAGGGCAUACAGUCCUCGCUAUUGUGUACCGUAGGGUGGUACACGACCAAGAGCUGGGCAAGACCGGUGCCAGCCGCCGCGGUAAUACCGGCAGCUCGAGUGAUGGCCGAUUUUAUUGGGCCUAAAGCGUCCGUAGCUGGCCCUGCAAGUCCGUCGGGAAAUCCACUCGCCUAACGAGUGGGCGUCCGGCGGAAACUACAGGGCUUGGGACCGGAAGACUUGAGGGGGUACGUCUGGGGUAGGACUGAAUUCUUGUCCUCCUGGAC